AACGAACGCUGGCGGCAUGCCUAACACAUGCAAGUCGAACGAGACCUUCGGGUCUAGUGGCGCACGGGUGCGUAACGCGUGGGAACCUGCCCUUAGGUUCGGAAUAACUCCCCGAAAGGGGUGCUAAUACCGGAUAAUGUCUUCGGACCAAAGAUUUAUCGCCUUUGGAUGGGCCCGCGUUGGAUUAGCUAGUUGGUAGGGUAAAAGCCUACCAAGGCGACGAUCCAUAGCUGGUCUGAGAGGAUGAUCAGCCACACUGGGACUGAGACACGGCCCAGACUCCUACGGGAGGCAGCAGUGGGGAAUAUUGGACAAUGGGCGAAAGCCUGAUCCAGCAAUGCCGCGUGAGUGAUGAAGGCCUUAGGGUUGUAAAGCUCUUUUACCCGGGAUGAUAAUGACAGUACCGGGAGAAUAAGCUCCGGCUAACUCUGUG
rnacentral:rRNA from 1 species